AUUGAACGCUGGCGGCAUGCCUUACACAUGCAAGUCGAACGGUAACGCGGGGCAACCUGGCGACGAGUGGCGAACGGGUGAGUAAUGUAUCGGAACGUGCCCAGUUGUGGGGGAUAACUGCUCGAAAGAGCAGCUAAUACCGCAUACGACCUGAGGGUGAAAGCGGGGGAUCGCAAGACCUCUCGCAAUUGGAGCGGCCGAUAUCAGAUUAGGUAGUUGGUGGGGUAAAGGCCCACCAAGCCAACGAUCUGUAGCUGGUCUGAGAGGACGACCCGCCACACUGGGACUGAGACACGGCCCAGCCUCCUACGGGAGGCAGCAGUGGGGAAUUUUGGACAAUGGACGCAAGUCUGAUCCAGCCAUGCCGCGUGCGGGAAGAAGGCCUUCGGGUUGUAAACCGCUUUUGUCAGGGAAGAAACGCUCUGGGUUAAUACCUCGGGGUAAUGACGGUACCUGAAGAAUAAGCACCGGCUAACUACGUGCCAGCAGCCGCCGUAACAC
rnacentral:rRNA from 1 species